UCGGGAAUUUUGGGCAAUGGGCGAAAGCCUGACCCAGCAACGCCGCGUGAAGGAUGAAGUAUUUCGGUAUGUAAACUUCGUAAGAAUAGGAAGAAUAAAUGACGGUACUAUUUGUAAGGUCCGGCUAACUACGUGCCAGCAGCCGCGGUAAUACGUAGGGACCAAGCGUUGUUCGGAUUUACUGGGCGUAAAGGGCGCGUAGGCGGUGUGUCAAGUCAGUUGUGAAAUCUCCGAGCUUAACUCGGAACGGUCAACUGAUACUGUCACACUAGAGUACAGAAGGGGCAAUCGGAAUUCUUGGUGUAGCGGUGAAAUGCGUAGAUAUCAAGAGGAACACCUGAGGUGAAGACGGGUUGCUGGGCUGACACUGACGCUGAGGCGCGAAAGCUAGGGUAGCAAACGGGAUUAGAUACCCCGGUAGUCCCUGAGCGGGCUGGCAAGGCGCAU
rnacentral:rRNA from 1 species